AGUGAACGCUGGCGGUAGGCCUAACACAUGCAAGUCGAACGGCAGCACAGUAAGAGCUUGCUCUUACGGGUGGCGAGUGGCGGACGGGUGAGGAAUACAUCGGAAUCUACUUUUUCGUGGGGGAUAACGUAGGGAAACUUACGCUAAUACCGCAUACGACCUACGGGUGAAAGCAGGGGAUCUUCGGACCUUGCGCGAUUGAAUGAGCCGAUGUCGGAUUAGCUAGUUGGCGGGGUAAAGGCCCACCAAGGCGACGAUCCGUAGCUGGUCUGAGAGGAUGAUCAGCCACACUGGAACUGAGACACGGUCCAGACUCCUACGGGAGGCAGCAGUGGGGAAUAUUACGCAAUGGGCGAAAGCCUGAUCCAGCAAUACCGCGUGAGUGAUGAAGGACUUCGGAUUGUAAAGCCCUUUUGUUAGGAAAGAAGAACAGCGGGUUUAUCCCCGGCUGUUCUGACGGUACCCAAAGAAUAAGCACCGGCUAACUUCGUG
rnacentral:rRNA from 1 species